UCCACUGAUAACCCAGCUGCCGAGGAACCGAGCAGAGCCGGCUCCAAACUUCUCAGCUGUUGACAGGCUUGACUCGCUGAGAACACUGGUUAAAUAUAGCACGCGCAAGCCAGCGCCUCAACAAAGUCCCUGCCCUGCCGGUGUUGUGCAGGGAGCAGGAGACGAGAAACCUAAUCUCGGAACCCAACAACACCUAGCAACAGUUGAAAAAACUUUUAAACAAAAGUCUGGGUGGGAGAUCUACAACAGCCUCCAGUGUCUGCGGACCGGGGAUUUCAGGGCGAAGAAGCUGCUCUCCCCUUCUCUCCACUCAGUUUCCUGCAUGACUUCAGCUAUUGGCUAGUCCCGGGAGAGCAAGUGGGAAAAGCUUUUCCCUCUGUAUUCUUUUGGGCUGGAUAGUUUUCCAGGACUCCAGUCUCUCUCUUGGGCUGUGGGACAAGCCACUGGGUUCUUCAAAGGAUAAGCGACCUCUCUAAAGGACAUCCCCUUGGCUAAGCGAGCUGCCAUCAGGUGGGAAUGAGAUCCCGAAACCAGGGUGGUGAAAGUUCAUCCAACGGGCAUAUCUCCUGCCCCAAAUCCUCCAUCAUAAGCAAUGUUGAUGAUAAAAGUCUCUCAGAAGAUGCAAAAAAGAAGAACAAAUCAAAUAGAAAGGAAGAUGAUGUCAUGGCCUCAGGCACUGUCAAACGACACCUAAAACCAUCUGGAGAAAGUGAUAAAAAGAAUAAGAAAUCCUUGGAGUUGUCCAAAGAAGACCUCAUCCAGCUACUCAGUAUAAUGGAAGGAGAGUUGCAGGCCAGGGAAGAUGUGAUCCACAUGCUGAAGACGGAGAAAACCAAGCCUGAGGUUCUGGAGGCUCAUUACGGGUCUGCGGAGCCAGAGAAAGUGCUGCGGGUCCUGCACCGAGACGCCAUCCUCGCCCAGGAGAAAUCCAUAGGAGAAGAUGUCUAUGAGAAACCAAUUUCAGAGCUGGACAGACUUGAGGAAAAACAGAAAGAAACCUACCGGCGCAUGCUAGAGCAGCUGCUGCUGGCGGAGAAGUGCCACAGGCGCACGGUGUACGAGUUAGAGAACGAGAAGCACAAGCACACUGACUACAUGAACAAGAGCGACGACUUCACCAACCUGCUGGAGCAGGAGCGGGAGAGGUUGAAAAAGCUCCUUGAACAAGAAAAGGCUUACCAAGCCCGUAAAGAAAAGGAAAAUGCUAAGAGGCUCAAUAAACUAAGAGAUGAGCUUGUGAAAUUAAAGUCCUUUGCACUCAUGCUGGUGGAUGAAAGACAAAUGCAUAUUGAGCAACUUGGCCUGCAAAGCCAGAAAGUACAGGAUCUCACUCAGAAACUGAGGGAAGAAGAAGAAAAACUCAAAGCCAUUACUUCCAAGUCCAAAGAAGACAGGCAGAAAUUGCUCAAGUUAGAAGUGGAUUUCGAACACAAGGCUUCAAGGUUUUCCCAAGAGCAUGAAGAGAUGAAUGCUAAAUUGGCUAAUCAAGAGUCUCACAACAGGCAACUUAGACUCAAGCUGGUUGGCUUAACGCAAAGAAUUGAGGAGCUAGAAGAGACCAACAAAAAUCUUCAAAAGGCAGAGGAAGAACUUCAGGAAUUAAGAGAUAAAAUUGCCAAGGGGGAAUGUGGCAACUCCAGCCUCAUGGCAGAAGUGGAAAAUCUACGGAAGCGCGUGCUUGAAAUGGAGGGUAAAGAUGAGGAGAUCACGAAAACGGAAUCCCAGUGCAGGGAAUUGAGGAAGAAAUUACAAGAGGAAGAACAUCAUAGUAGGGAGCUCAAAAUCGAAGUUGAGAAGUUACAGAAGAGAAUGUCUGAACUGGAGAAAUUGGAAGAAGCAUUUAGCAAGAGUAAAUCUGAAUGCACCCAGCUACAUUUAAAUCUAGAGAAAGAAAAGAACUUAACCAAAGACCUGCUAAAUGAAUUGGAGGUCGUCAAGAGCCGAGUUAAAGAACUGGAAUGUUCUGAAAGUAGAUUGGAAAAGGCUGAAUUAAGCCUAAAAGAGGAUCUUACAAAGUUGAAGUCAUUUACUGUGAUGCUGGUUGAUGAAAGGAAAAAUAUGAUGGAAAAAAUAAAGCAAGAAGAGAGAAAAGUGGAUGGACUCAAUAAAAAUUUUAAGGUGGAACAAGGGAAGGUUAUGGAUGUAACUGAAAAACUAAUCGAAGAAAGUAAGAAGCUUUUAAAACUGAAGUCUGAAAUGGAGGAAAGAGUAUACAAUUUGACAAAAGAGAGGGACGAGUUAGUAGGCAAACUGAAAAGUGAAGAAGAAAAAUCAUCUGAAUUAAGCUGCAGUGUUAACUUAUUAAAGAAGAGACUUGAUGGGAUAGAGGAAGUGGAGAGAGAAAUAACCAGAGGAAGGUCUCGAAAAGGGCCUGAGCUCACCUGCCCAGAAGACAACAAGAUUAAGGAACUAACGCUUGAAAUUGAGAGACUGAAGAAACGUCUCCAACAACUGGAGGUGGUCGAAGGGGAUUUGAUGAAGACGGAGGAUGAGUAUGAUCAGCUGGAGCAGAAAUUUAGAACUGAGCAAGAUAAGGCUAAUUUCCUCUCUCAGCAACUGGAGGAGAUAAAGCACCAAAUUGCCAAGAACAAAGCAAUCGAGAAAGGUGAGGCUGUGAGCCAGGAAGCGGAGCUGAGACACAGGUUUCGGCUGGAAGAGGCUAAAAGUCGAGACUUAAAAGCUGAAGUGCAAGCUCUUAAAGAGAAGAUUCAUGAAUUAAUGAACAAAGAAGAUCAGCUUUCUCAGCUCCAAGUGGACUAUUCUGUCCUUCAACAAAGAUUUAUGGAGGAAGAAAAUAAGAACAAAAACAUGGGACAGGAGGUCCUCAAUCUGACCAAAGAGCUGGAGCUUUCCAAGCGUUACAGCCGAGCUCUAAGACCCAGUAUGAAUGGGAGAAGAAUGGUAGAUAUUCCUGUGACCUCGACUGGAGUGCAGACCGAUGCUGUCAGCAGCGAGGCAGCAGAGGAAGAAACCCCAGCAGUAUUUAUCCGGAAAUCCUUUCAAGAAGAGAAUCAUAUCAUGAGCAACCUUCGACAGGUGGGAUUGAAAAAACCUAUGGAACGAUCCUCCGUUCUCGACAGGUAUCCUCCAGCAGCAAAUGAGCUCACGAUGAGAAAGUCGUGGAUUCCCUGGAUGAGGAAAAGGGAAAAUGGGCCCUCGAUGACUCCAGAGAAAGGGCCCCGAACAAAUUCCAAUCCCGGGCACCCAGGAGAGCUGGUUCUCUCACCAAAGCAGGGCCAGCCCCUGCAUAUUCGAGUGACGCCAGACCACGAGAACAGUACUGCGACGUUGGAGAUAACAAGCCCUACAUCCGAAGAAUUUUUCUCCAGUACCACCGUCAUUCCUACAUUAGGGAAUCAGAAGCCAAGGAUAACCAUUAUUCCAUCACCAAAUGUUAUGUCUCAAAAAACAAAAAGUGGAGACGGUAUUCUCGGCCCAGAACGAGCCAUGUCCCCGGUCACAAUUACCACAUAUUCCAGAGAGAAAGCCCCGGACAGUGGAAGAGGCGCAUUUGCGGACAGGCCCACAUCCCCCAUUCAGAUAAUGACAGUGUCCACAUCAGCUGCCCCGGCUGAGAUUGCAGUCUCUCCCGACGCCCAGGAAAUGCCCAUGGGAAGGACUGUCCUCAAAGUCACCCCAGAAAAACAGACUGUUCCAACGCCACUACGGAAAUACAACUCCAAUGCCAAUAUCAUAACCACAGAGGACAAUAAAAUCCACAUUCACUUAGGUUCUCAGUUUAAACGGUCCCCUGGGGCUUCAGCAGAAGGAGCAAGUCCUGUUAUCACUGUGCGACCUGUCAGCGUGACAGCGGAAAAGGAGGUCUCCACCGGCACUGUCCUCCGCUCUCCCAGGAACCACCUCUCCUCACGGCCUGGUGCAAGCAAAGUGACAAGCACCAUCACCAUAACCCCAGUCACAACCUCCUCCACUCGAGGAACCCAGUCAGUGUCAGGACAAGACGGGUCAUCCCAGCGGCCUACACCCACCCGCAUUCCUAUGUCAAAAGGUAUGAAAGCAGGAAAGCCAGUAGUGGCAGCCCCAGGAGCAGGAAAUCUGACCAAAUUCGAGCCUCGAGCUGAGACUCAGUCUAUGAAAAUAGAGCUGAAGAAAUCUGCAGCCGGCAGCGCUACCUCUCUCGGAGGGGGGAAGGGCUGAGGGCAGUGGCUGAGGGGGUAUGUUGUGCAGAUGCUACUGCUACGGUGAAAACAAACCUUCGUCCGUUCGUGCCAAUUCUUUACAUGUACUAAUUUAAGUUUUAAAUACCUUGUUUAUAAAGUAAUCUACUAAUAGCCAUAUGUCUUUUCUAUUUUGUAAAUUUGUUUUGAUGCUGGGGAACUAACCAACAAAACUACUGUUUGCCGUGUGCUUGGUGGAGGAAGCUGGGCCUGAGGCUGGAGCUUGACAUCUGGUCCCCGUUUUGCUUCUAGAAAAUGGAUCCAUCAACUAACCCAUCUGAACCUCAGUUUCUUAAUCAGUGAGAUAUGGGUGCUGAAUAAACUCCUCUCCAAAGCCUGCUCCCAUAUUUCUUGAUGGUAAAUCACAUUUAAUAGCCUUGUUCCACAGUAAUUGAUUUUUCAAAAAUUCUAUUAUGAAAUAGGAAGUAGUUUAAUGAUUGCCAUUUGCCUCUGUCAAAUCCCAAAUUUGCUUCUUGUGCUGGGACAUCUAGUUAUCACAGGGCCUGGAGCUCUAAAGUUUUGCCAAAACAAAAGCCUCUGAGAUGAUUUCAGGAAAUAAUUUGAAUGUGAAAUAAAAUGGAAAUGAAAUAUGGAGUCCUAAAACAGAGUUUUACUUAUUUGUGUGUGUCUGUGUGUAUGGUAGAUAGAAGUUUUGGCCAUCUCAAAAACAUUCCCAGAGUUUCAUAGACAAUAAUUUUAGAGCCAUUAAUGUCAUACUCUUGUUCUAUUCAAGUGCGCAAUUGAUUUAAAUCCUGGAGCGGUUUGAAUAGAGCCACCAAAUGGCCCCUUAUGGCUCAAUAGAGGUUGUAAUGGGUAGGAAAUAGCAGGAAGUAAAUUCUGAUAUGUUAAUGCCAAGAAAAAACAUGACAUCAUGCAGACCUUAAUUGAAUUGAAUAUUUUCCUCAGUUAACUGUGAACUUUAUUUGCAAAUAUAAAAUCAGUUCAUGAUUGUGUGUGUGUGUGUGUGUGUGUGUGUGUGUUGUAGAGAAUGGGAUUAUUAUUCCUGUCAUUUUUACUUGUGUUUGUAUCAUUUUCAUUAAUUUUAAGCAUGGUUUAAUCAGCAUGAAGCAGUGUGUGAGUGCAAAAUGCCAGGUGUCUUUGUGGGGAGACUAACCAUGUUAAAGUAGAUGCGGCUUCAUAGUCAAAUAACCACAAAUGAGCUCAAGGUUAAUAACCUGCAGCAUAGGAUACGAGGUCUUACGUAGGCAGCAGAUCUGCAAGAUUUUUGAUUCAAUGCGGGGAAGAUAAAAAAGAACAGAUGAUUGGUUUUUAGCCCUUGAUUCAACAUCCUUCGUGAUAAAUAGACUCUUUUCAAAGUUCUUUUCACACCAGAUUUCCUAUCCCUUACAGAACUUGGACUUGAAUUACACACAAUGGUGGUAGAUGCCUCACAGUAUUUACAUUCACUUUAAUCUGAUCUCUGUUGCCUACAGCUCAGCAGUUCUCAGCAUAUAUAUUUUAAAAUGUUGAGCAACCACGAGAGACAUGCCAUAAAAAUGGGAUUUCAAGGUAGAAAAGCAGAGACUGAGAAUGAAGAUUUUAUGAAAUAUGACUUUGAACAAGUUUAAAUAAGAGAUCUUUCCAUUUUGAAUAAUGCCUUGUAUUUUUUUAACAUAUUUUAUUGAUUUUUUACAGAGAGGAAGGGAGAGGCAUAGAGAGCUAGAAACAUCGAUGAGAGGGAAACACCGAUCAGCUGCCUCCUGCACAUCCCCCACUGGGGAUGUGCCUGCAACCAAGGUACAUGCCCUUGACCGGAAUCGAACCUGGGACCCUUCAGUAUCCACUGAGCCAAACCGGUUAGGGCAGCCUUGUAUUUUUUUAAAAGGGAAUUUCCCCCCUUUUGUAAAGUGAACACAACCCUUUUCAAAAUCAAGGACAUUCUAUGGCAUUUAGGGUAUUUAUUGCUACUGUACCAUAACAUACUGUAUUUAAGCAACUGAAGUUGUCAAAAGUAUGAAACUGCAUUCCUUUUGACUUUACCUGCCAUUUUUCAGUGACUUUUAUCAUAAUCUUAUUGUCCCUGUUGCUGUUUUUGCUUUUACCUGCUCACAUCAUGCUUACGUUGUUUCUGCCUGGAAGGCCAUACCAGCUGCAGGGAGAGCACUCCAAAAGGCUUAGCAGUGCAUGUACAGGAUGUUUAUACAUCUGGACCUUGGAACAGAGCCACCUGCAAAGUACAACUACUAAGAAAACUUGGCAGAACAACACAUAUUCACUUUUCAGAAAUGAUAAAGAGCAACUGCCAUGGCAGUUUUUCUUUGUAAUUUUAGAAUCAACUCUACGUUUAUUGGAUAACUUUGUUUUAAACCACAUAUCAGAAAUGAAAUCCACUGGGGACAGGAGGUGGAGGAUUAAAAGCACUCCAACUCCAGCUUCCAUUUAAAGCAUCAUCAUUCACCAGUUACGCAUGAACUCCCGAUGAAAUGGUAAAUCAAGCACAUACUGGGUGUGUGUACUGCCUCUGAAUCCCUGUUGAAUGGAUAGUAUUACUACAGCUCUCCAUCAUCACUAAGGUCCUCCAGGCUACUGAUCACUACUGAAAAUAAUUUUCUACUUCCAGUGAAUUUUUUUUUGAGGAUAUAAUGUAAAAGCUGAAAAUGGCAUUGCUGAUAAUAUAAAAGUAGGUUGCAAGAGCAAUUCAAUCUUUGUGUCAAAAGCAAUUUCUCUUCCUUUUGCAAAGCUUUCAGGUCCAUGGGCACAUGCUAUGUAAUUUAUUUUUAUAAUACACUUUGUGAUGUGAUUUUUUUUUCCCCUAAAGUGUUUCCUUUUUCAUAGUCUAUGGCACAUAUAGUAUAUCUGUAGAAUACACUGUCAGUUCUUCAAAGCAUGGGUAUUGGUGCAUUUACAACAGUAACCUAUAAUCAUUUUCUUUGAUCAAUUUGUUAUUUCUGAAGAAAAGAAAGUACAACACUAUAUAUUUCCUGAAAGAAAUUCAAGAGGUAAAACAGAAGCAGGAGCUUCUGGAAGGGUUUUUAUUAUUGCUUGUACAAGGCUGUGGUUCUGAUCACGGUUCAACACUAACAGAUAACGGUCUGGUUUAAAGUUUAAUUUUAAACACUUACAGUUUUUUUUAAAGUUGCUCUUUCUAGUGUUCUGUGCCAAAACCCUUGAAUGAAUUGAUUUUCAUAUGGAACAAAUGAAUAAAAGGAGAUGUAUGAGUUUAACAUGUAAGGAUUACAGAAACACCUUCAACCAGUAGUUCAAUUACCUUUCUGUUUGCAUUAUUUACUUAUAUGUACAGGACUUAGAAAAAGGAUAUCAAGAUAGUUCUCACAAUCUACCUAAAUGAAAGCCUAAAAAUAAAAAACUGACCUAGAAAGUAUCAGCAUCUUUUUAAAAAAUGGUAAUAGAAAUGCCUAGAUAAUUUUUUUCUUGUAGAUAGGAGUUGGACAGAUUUUCAGAAAUCACAUAUAGGUUAGAGAAUAUAUUCUUUAAAGAUAAAAAGCACAUGAAUUACUUAAAUCUCAAUGUCAGAGCUGCUGUUGAACUUAAAUUUAUGUGAAAAUGUGCAUCUAAAGUCUACUUGAAAGCCUUAAUAUAGGGUUUUUAUUUUUAAAGACUUUGUCAAUGUGGACAAGUUGUCAAUAAAGUUUUUAAAAGGUAACUAAGAUAAAUAAAUAUUUGACACAUCAGUUUCUGAAGGCAGGAAUCAUCUAUCAUGUAACUUUACUUAGAUUAAAGAAACUAUGCUCUGGGUGUCACAAGGAUAGCUAAAAACCACACAAAUAAUACUGUUGGCCCAUUUCUCCAGACCACAGACUGUCCCCAGGUUUAUAUGCCCAAAGAGGGGAGGCCAUACUGCGUCUCUGGAGUAGAAAAAUUAAUGUUGAAUUUCCUCCCCUAUGGAACUUUGUAAGGUAUUAAGGUAUACCUUGUGGAAUUAGCAAAUUAUAGUCAGUAGGUAUUAUAUAUGAAAUUACUAUAUUUUAUGUAAAAUUAGUUUUGAUCUUUGUAAGUAAAAGAAAUGCUAUAGUAGGCUUGCCCUAGCUUGAGUGAUUGUAUGUGUCACAUAACCUGCAGGGUUCUGAUUACUGAUUAAAGAAAACUAGAUGUAUUUGUGUGAAGAUUUAAGAAAUUGUUGUUUUGGGUUCUGUUUUCUGCAAAUGUUUCUGAAUGAUGUUUUCAACUAGGGAAGGGUUUUAUUUAGUAUUGUUAUAUAUUUUUCACUCACAAUUAAGUUCCAUUUUUGUCAAUAUUUCUGACGGCAAAAAUAUUCAGAUAUAGCACAGAUUAGCAUUUGAAGCAAAUAACUUUUUCUCAACUUGUGGGACUGUUAUUACACUAAUUGUGAAAAGGCUAGAAGAUAAGACUUUAAAUAUUUCCUGACUUUAAUUUAAAAUGCUACAAGUAAUUUAUGUAUAUUUGGAUCUGAAGUUUUAUUUUUCCCGAGUUUAUAAUGAAGUUUGGUACUUGCAAUGCUGAGUGAGGAUGACGGUGUAAUUGGUCAUUUAAAUGGAUGCUGAGCUUUUCUCUGCCCAUGCUAUAAAUAAGUCCUCUGUUGAAACCCAAAUGGAAUUAAAGUGACAAAUGAUUAAAAUUAGUUUAAAAAAUUUAAAACUUGUUUUGAAAUAGAACACAAUAUUAAAAAUGAACAGAAAACAACAAAUAGUCAUAUCCUUAGCUCAUGAAUAAACAAACAAGAUCAUAAAUAGUCAUAGCCCAAUAUCAAUUGAAAAAAUUGUCCCUCAUGCAAGUCUGGCAUCAUCCUAGGCUACAUAAUUUCUCUAUCUUUCAUUGUAAGUAAAUCUCCAAUCAUCAAUAUGAAUGAGAAUCAGUUUUGAAUGGAAUAAUUCUGUCUUCUGAUGUAUGAUCGUAGUUAGUGUUUUCAGUUUAAGAUACAAAAAACUAAUCCCAUUAUUUUACCCUUUUCUUUUAGAGAAGAGUGUUUCUGAGGGUAUCUUCUACAAAGAUUUUUUUUCAAGUAUUUAAUAAAAUAUUAGGGCUUAAUGAAAAUAAUGGAUAGAGUAAAUAUUCCAGAUGUUAGAGACCUAUAAUGUUUACAAAUGUGAACAAUUAAUUCUAUCUUAGGACAACCAUAAAACAAUUCAUGGUGUGGAAUAUCUAACUUAAGCAUUAACAGAGAUACCAACAAUUCUGAAAUAAUUCCCAGCUUCUGAAAGUCAGUGGCAGAGCAAGAGUGAAUGCUGUGUCAGACAGUGUAAUAUGUUUGUGUCUUCUCUUUAUGCUGUGGUUGAGUUUUCCUGAAAAUAAAUAAAAAAUAGAGCAAAGGUAGGGUGUAUUCAUGAGUUUGAUAAGCAACAAUUCAAAAAUUAACAAAAACGCAUAAUGGAAGUUUAAAAAACACAACUGGCACCUGAGGCAUAUGCCCCCCUCUGUACCUCCAGUGCCAUGCCUCUGCUAAAAAUACUAAUUAGAAGGCAAAGAGGAGAAACAAUAAAAAUGGUUGUAAUGAAUUCAUAAAAUUGGGAGUUCCAUGGAAUUAAUGUUGCUUAGUGACCACUAAUGUUUUAUUUAUCUUACUAUUAUGUUUUUAAUACUCACCUGAGGAUAUGUUUAUUGAUUUUAGAAAAAGAGGGAGAGAGAGAGAGAAACAUGUGAGAAAGAAACACUAGUUGGUUGCCUGUCAGUCAUAUGUGCCCAGACUGGGAUUGAACCCACAACCUAGGUAUGUGCCCUGACAGAAUAGAACACACAACCUUUUUGGUGCCAAAACGAUGCUCCAACCAACAGAUUCACCUGGCCCGGACAAUAUUUUAUGUUCUUAAACUUUCAGCAUUUCCUCCUGACUCUGUGAUGACACUAUGCUUGUUACAUAGGGAAAAUGCUGUAGAUUCAUACAUUUGAACAGAAAUAUUUCUAGGUGCCAUGACAUGAUACAUCUUUUUCUGGUGGGUUAUUUUUGUUUGUUUAUGUUAUUUGGUUAAUUUUACCUUACCAUUCACAGAUUUUGUUAACAGUGCAAAAUUGUAUUUAUUUAAUCUAGAUUUUGUUUUAAAAAUGUCAGAUGUUAGCUUCUUCAUAUGUGAUCAGUUAUUCUUAGAAGUCUUGCAGGUGUAAUGGAUUUUCAAUAGCAAAAGAGUACAUGAAAAAAAUUUGGAGUUACAGUCUAUUUUCACAGCAUUCUCAAUUUUUUCUUUAAGUUUUAUUAAGUACAUGAGAAGUUUAUUUUUCACUACAGCCAAGUGAAUUUAUGAAUAUGUACUUGUCUUUUAUAUGAAUGUGAUAUCCUGCUUUCAUUUCAUCACAGGUUACUGAAAUUUAGCCAAUUAAGACAUUCUCUGUGUUAUUUCCAAAUUCAACUUUGUUUAUUAAAAUCUCACCAGAGAGUGAGAAAAAUAAUAAUUGUGAUAUAAAAGUAUUGUGCAAUAUUCUUCUUUGAGUUGGAACAUAAUACUAUACAAUUAAAAUCAUUUAAAAUGA